AAGUCGUAACAAGGUUUCCGUAGGUGAACCUGCGGAAGGAUCAUUAUUGAUUUUAGCUAACCUGGAUAUUUUAGCCACGGUUAUGCGAAAUUUUGUAUUUAAAACCCCACUCUUUAUAAUAAAAUUUAUUAUAUUUAUGAUAAAAAUAAGAUCACUUUCAACAACGGAUCUCUUGGUUCUC
rnacentral:misc_RNA from 1 species